rnacentral:rRNA from 1 species
AUGGCCUCCACCGUGGCCUUCACCCCCGCCGUCGCCGUCGGCGCCAAUGUGCAGCACUCUCGGAGGACAUCCUCGCUGCGGCCCGUCCCGAGAGCCAGGCCCGUGGCCGCGAGGGGCAGCGCCGAGCGGGACGGCGCCGCGGCGGCCGUCCAGGCCCGGUCGGGGCGGACCAUCGAGGAGUGCGAGGCGGACGCCGUCGCCGGGAAAUUCCCCGCCGCGCCGCCGCCGACCAGGCCGCAGCCGCCCAGCGGCACCCCGGAGAUCAGGCCCCUCGACAUGGCGAAGCGCCCUCGCCGGAACCGGAGGUCGCCGGCGCUCCGGGCAGCGUUCCAGGAGACUAGCAUUACCCCCGCGAACCUCGUCCUCCCUCUGUUCAUCCACGAAGGUGAAGAAGACACUCCCAUUGGAGCUAUGCCUGGGUGCUUCAGGCUUGGAUGGAGGCAUGGGCUUCUGGAAGAGGUUUACAAGUCACGCGAUGUUGGUGUUAACAGCUUUGUGCUAUUUCCAAAGGUUCCUGAUGGAUUAAAGACGCAAACGGGAGAUGAGGCAUACAAUGAUAAUGGUUUAGUGCCCCGAACAAUCCGUCUGCUCAAGGAUAAGUACCCUGACAUUGUUAUCUACACUGAUGUUGCUUUGGAUCCUUAUUCUUCUGAUGGUCAUGAUGGCAUUGUGAGGGAAGAUGGAGUCAUCAUGAACGAUGAAACAGUGCAUCAGCUGUGCAAGCAGGCAGUUUCCCAGGCUCGAGCUGGUGCUGAUGUUGUCAGUCCUAGUGACAUGAUGGAUGGUCGUGUUGGAGCAAUUCGGGCUGCACUAGAUGCAGAGGGUUUCAAUGAUGUCUCCAUCAUGUCCUACACUGCAAAGUAUGCUAGUUCGUUUUAUGGUCCAUUCCGUGAAGCUUUGGAUUCAAAUCCACGAUUUGGAGACAAGAAGACUUAUCAGAUGAACCCAGCAAAUUACAGAGAAGCCCUUAUAGAAACUGCAGCAGAUGAGGCAGAAGGGGCAGAUAUUCUUCUGGUGAAACCCGGAUUACCAUACCUGGAUAUUAUCCGACUCCUACGGGAUAAUUCAGCCUUGCCGAUUGCUGCAUACCAGGUGUCGGGUGAGUACUCGAUGAUCAAGGCCGGCGGCGUGCUGAAGAUGGUGGACGAGGAGAAGGUGAUGAUGGAGUCGCUGCUGUGCCUCCGGCGCGCGGGCGCCGACAUCAUUCUCACCUACUUUGCCCGCCAGGCCGCCAACGUCCUCUGCGGGGCCAACCGGCCGUAG